rnacentral:hammerhead_ribozyme from 1 species
AUCCAGCUGAUGAGUCCCAAACAAGACGAAACGCGCGUCCUGGAU